rnacentral:rRNA from 1 species
UACGGGGGGGGGCAAGCGUUGUUCGGAUUUACUGGGCGUAAAGGGCGCGUAGGCGGUCAGCACAAGUCAGUUGUGAAAUCUCCGGGCUUAACCCGGAAAGGUCAACUGAUACUGUGCGACUAGAGUGCGGAAGGGGCAACUGGAAUUCUCGGUGUAGCGGUGAAAUGCGUAGAUAUCGAGAGGAACACCUGCGGCGAAGGCGGGUUGCUGGGCCGACACUGACGCUGAUGCGCGAAAGCCAGGGGAGCGAACGGG